GCCCUUGUACCAGAACAGGUAUAUGGACCAAGCUCAAACCUUGGGGUUUGUGGGUUCGACUCCCACCAGGGGCAC
rnacentral:tRNA from 1 species